GAUCAGAUAUGAAAGGACAUGCCUGAGGAAUUGGAGAAAGCGUGGAGGACUACUGCAUAUACUGCAACUGUAUCAACUGUGAAAGAGAAAAUGAGGAUUGCACAAUGGUCCAGUGUGAUUCUUGCAAGAGGUGGGCACAUAUACCCUGCAUUACAGAAGGAACCAAUCAAGAAAACCUGACAGAUGAGAAGAAAGAGUACAACUGCAAGAAAUGUGCAUAGUUCACUUCAUUACCCCCCAAAAAACCCCAAUA